GUUUUCCCUUUUCAGAAAUUUGAUGAAGCAAAUAUCGAAGAUGCCACAUCAGCUCUUCGGAACCUCUCUCUGUCGUCAAACGAGGUUGCCACACAGAAUUAUAAAAGAAGUAACAAAAGUAGAUCCCGACAAACAAAGACGCAGUCUCAGAUUCGCCGGCGAGGCUCCUCUAGUGGAGAGCAUCACAAAAGUCAUCCAAAGGUCUGUUGUUUUCUAAUUCUUUUUUCUUUUAUUUUGAUGAUUUGAUAUAUCCUAGUUUUAUGCAUAUAUACAUGUUAGGUCACAGAUGGUUUAAUCUUUUAGGAUCUGUCUUUGUGGACCAGUAUAGAGCAAAAUGUAUCAGCAAUGCUGACGUCUAUACGAGAGUCCGUAAGUAAUUACUGCAUGUAAUACUACAGUUAUUGAUAUAACCCUCUCCGAAGAAAACAAGUCUCCCCGUGACAUUUUCGCCAAACUAUAUUCCUCCAUAUGGAGGAGAUACGUAGAAUAUGAACGUGUUUUUGUUUUACCUGGACCAUGUCUUCAGGAUUACAUCAUAUAUACACUUAUUUAAUCUAGGUAUUCAAAGUUUAUACC